GUUCCAUGGAGCCAUGUGGUGUGGUGCUGAAGGCAGCAUUCAAACACAGCCGAAACAGGGCCCGUGCCUUCAAACAGGGCUGGUUUGGAAAACCUGGGGAGAAACUGCUCUUGAGAGGAGCCCUGGAGCAGCAUCCUGCCCUUGUCCAGCCAUGGAGAUGGCCAGAGCUGCAGUGGCAUGGAGCUGGGAUGGGUUAUCCCUGGGACCUCAGGGACAACCUGGGUGUGAAGAUCCCAGCUUGGCUGCAAGCCUGGGACAUGGAGCACUGCCCUGUGAUGCACCACGGCUCCCCAGGCAAGCAGAGAUGUCACCAUGCACCGUGGUUUAUGGUCUCAGCCCUGCACCGCCUCGAUGCUGCCAGGUCCAUGCCCUGGAAAUGUAGUUUCAUCUGGACAAACAGCAUUUCUUAUUGCUGUUGCUAAUGUGGUAUCAGUGCACUGCAACAUAGAUAUUUUAAUAGCACAUAGUUCUUUUGAUGAAGCGGCUUUAACAAACUCCUUCCCAACAUUGUUUAUGUCAUAUUUGCUCAUUUAUGCAUGCAAUAAAUUAAAUGAAAGCUCUUAAACAUUUAGGAAGUAACAAGAAGUGCCCCUGUGUAUUAACCCCCAGCAGGCACUGCUUUCCCUUGCACAUCCACGCACUGCUGGGUGUUUCCUGCUCUGCCCGUGUGGCAGUGCAGGCUGGAGGGGGUUCUGCCAGCCCCACAUUCCCAGGAAUGCCGGCAGCUGUGACAACCACUGCAGGUUUAUUUUUACCAUCCCGACAAUGCCGCUGCUUAGCUCAGCUUUUAUUAGACAUAAAUAAUGCUUUUAAAGCGAAGCUGGCACCGGGGCAGCAAA